rnacentral:rRNA from 1 species
GAUGAACGCUAGCGGCAGGCUUAACACAUGCAAGUCGAGGGGUAUAGUUCUUCGGAGCUAGAGACCGGCGCACGGGUGCGUAACGCGUAUGCAAUCUACCUUUUGCAGAGGGAUAGCCCAGAGAAAUUUGGAUUAAUACCUCAUGGUAUGUGAGAAUGGCAUCAUUUUCACAUUAAAGUCACAACGGCAAAAGAUGAGCAUGCGUCCCAUUAGCUAGUUGGUAAGGUAACGGCUUACCAAGGCAACGAUGGGUAGGGGUCCUGAGAGGGAGAUCCCCCACACUGGUACUGAGACACGGACCAGACUCCUACGGGAGGCAGCAGUGAGGAAUAUUGGACAAUGGGCGCAAGCCUGAUCCAGCCAUGCCGCGUGCAGGAUGACGGUCCUAUGGAUUGUAAACUGCUUUUGUACAGGAAGAAACACUGGUUCGUGAACCAGCUUGACGGUACUGUAAGAAUAAGGAUCGGCUAACUCCGUGCCAGCCGCCGCGGUAACAC